rnacentral:lncRNA from 1 species
UGCCCCAUGGAAGCUGAAGCCACACUUCCCACAUGGCCCCUCUGGCCAGCCGGGCAUCUCAGAUGACAGCUGCAUACAGGCCAGCACCUGCAGCUCAGCCGCCAACAGUGGCAUCCACCUCUGCAGUUGGCUCUCCUGCUGCUGCUCCCCAGCAGCCAGGUCUGAGGGCCCAGAUGGCAACCACUGCAGCUGACGUGGCUGUGGGCUCUGCUGUGGGGCACACACUGGGCCACGCCGUCACCGGGGGCUUCAGUGGAGGAAGUAAUGCUGAGCCUGUAAGGCCUGACAUCACUUACCAGUAGCCUCAGGGAAUCCAGUCGGCACAGCAGCAGCGGCCUUGCUUCUAUGAGACCAGUUUUUGGAGGAUGCACAGAACCAGGGUGACAGAAAGCUCUGUGAGGGUUUCAGUGAGGUGCUGAAACAGUGCAGACCUUCAAACAGAUUGGCCUAA